rnacentral:lncRNA from 1 species
ACCACACAUGAUGCUUAACCACACUGUCAACUCCGCGUAUUAUUCAGAAAAGCUCUGCUGUCUUCAGUUAAUCUGUAAUCAUCAGAUCUUUCAUCAUGGCACACAUAUCUCAGCAAUUGUGCUCAUUACAAAAACCACCAUGGCAUAAUAGGAAACAAUGACAUGUUUUUUCCUUUUCCUACGAUACUGUGGGGUUGAGAACUCGGUGCGACAUAGGUCAUUCAGCCAGCAAAAUAUUAGGGGAAGAUGUAUGGCGACAUGCCAAUCAGUGCUUUGAAAAGCUCAGCCUAGGUGACUCUGUUUGUUAAAAAGUAUUCAAAAGCCCCAAUUACAAUCAGUUAAAAGCAAUAAGCAUGCAAAUUAUUUUAAAACAAACUUUAAUUAAUUUCAGCAUAUGUUUCACUUAGGCUGAUUAGUCAAAUCUGAUUUUCUGAAAAGAAACAAUAAACAUCUGCUAAUGAUGAUUUACAUAUUACCGCUCACAUGGCCUGCAGUGCGCUCGGUGCUGAUGCAGGUUCUGCAUCAGAAAAGAGAUUUUGUGCUGUGCCAGCUGCCCCCGGCCUGCAGCCAGCAGGUAAGGAAGCCUGAAGACUGGACCCAGAGAACUCCAAGCUGAAGCUCUCUACAGUCUGACCUUGGUUCAGCCCUGUCCUCUGAGAUGCCAAGUGAGAAAUUAUUCAGCCAGCUGCAUUCAGAACAGCAAAAAGGGCUUAACAAAUUGUUCAGACCCCAUUUCCACUAAAAUCAGUGGAAAAAAAUUAUCAGCUGCUACGAGUGCCUAACGUAGCCAACACAAUCGCCUAUUCUCCGCUCAUUAUAUAGAGAGACAGGAUGUGAUAAUCCCACAUAGUCAGGAGGAUAAAUCCCUCUUUACGCCUGAGACUCCACUGUGGGAGGCCCGAGUACAGCCCCCUCAUACCUUUGGGGCUGCAGCUCACAGUAAUGUAAAUAUUUAAAAGUCCAUGCCAUUUUACAUUCACGAGGCUGAUAAUGGAAUAGUUUUAAUAUCCUUAUAAUGCCAAAUCCAGAUUAACACGAUAAUAGUGGCUCCCAAGCAGUUUAUUAGCACUCGUACCCAAUAUGUAGUAAUCCUAGAGAAAAAAAAAAGAAAAAAAAAAAAGGAAAAAGAAGUCCUGCCAAUGUAUACUGCACACCAAGCUACAGGAUGUCGUAUUCCAAGAGUUAUUUCAGUUGUAGAAACCAUGUGGCUCCAUUACUUGGCAUGAAGAGAGGAUAAAGAGAGAAUGGUCUAUGACAGGUGUUGCUUUAAAUAUUUUGAAGAUAUGCAUCAGGAAUAGUUCAUAAAAGUGCUUCCAAAGUAGCUCUUACACCCACUGGGCUUGGCAGUCCUCACUCUUAAAAAACAUGAACUUGGCGCAGCAGCCUCCUAAAUCUUUUAAACUAGCUUAAUCCUCGAAACGUGCACUCAGCUAGAUGGGUGCAUUUAUCUGAAACUCACUUAUUUACAAGCAACGAAAACAUGAAAUUGGCUGGUCCCAGAAGGCAACUUUGUACUUCCCAACUCUCCUGCUUUCAUAAAUCAACCCAUUCAACAGGGUGCCACAUUUGUUUUUUCCAUUCUCACAUUCUGCCUGAACAAUCAUUCCCCAUUUAAU